GCUGCAGACCCGCGACCCGGAGCAGCUCGGAGUGGGUGAAUAAUAGCUCUUCAAAUCUUCAGUAAAAAAUGGCCUCCAAUAAACCUACAUUGCAAAAAAUGGGAAAGAAACAGAAUGGAAAAAGUAAAAAAGUCGAAGAGGCAGAGCCUGAAGAAUUUGUGGUGGAAAAAGUACUGGACCGACGUGUAGUGAAUGGGAAGGUGGAGUAUUUCCUCAAGUGGAAGGGAUUUACAGAUGCUGACAGUACUUGGGAACCUGAAGAAAAUUUAGAUUGUCCAGAGUUAAUCGAAGCAUUUCUUAAUUCUCAAAAAGCUGGUAAAGAGAAAGAUGGCACAAAAAGAAAAUCUUUAUCUGACAGUGAAUCGGAUGAUAGCAAAUCAAAGAAGAAAAGAGAUGCUGCUGACAAACCAAGGGGCUUUGCCAGAGGCCUUGAUCCUGAAAGAAUAAUUGGUGCCACGGACAGCAGCGGAGAAUUGAUGGUUCUUAUGAAACGGAAAGAUUCAGAUGAGGCAGACUUGGUGCUGGCAAAAGAGGCUAAUGUGAAGUGUCCUCAAAUUGUAAUUGCUUUUUAUGAAGAGAGACUAACUCGGCAUUCUUGUCCAGAAGAUGAAGCUCAAUAAUUGUUUGCAUUGCUUUAUAUAU